rnacentral:misc_RNA from 1 species
GAAAAAAAAAAGAAAAAGAAAGAAUGACCAAAACAGAAAGAAAAGAGCUCAUACAAAAACUUACAAGGCAUACCUAAGCUAAAUCUUCUAGUUAAACACAUCAAGCUCGAGAGAAGAUUCAUGGAAAAGAUUUGAUUGAAACAUGCUCAUAAAACUCCCUUCCAUAGGCUGCAAAAAUCCAUCAAAAGGCUGGAAAAUAGAAUCAGAACCUGCAGGAGACGAUGAUGACUCAUUGUAAGAGUUCAUCAAAGGUACUAAAGAUCCGGCAGACCCAUCAACAGUUCUUCGUUCAAGAAUUUCUGGAGAGUUUUCGACACCAUUAAAGUCCAUAAAUCGCUCUGCAUCAGAGUCUUUUCCAGUGAGUUCUUGCACAAGAGCCCUGAAUUUUGAGGCACUAGUCUCAACUUUCAUAGGGCUGGAUAUGUACACAACUUUGAUACCCUUUUUGGCGCUCCUUCUCCUGGAUUGUUUCUUGCUCUUAACGUUAACACCAAGAACAUCCAUGAUCUUUUGCUUAUUUUGUCCGUACUAAUGAGUAAUGAACCUUUUGUUGAAUAACAUGUACUAGAUCAUUAUUGGUUAGGGUUUAUAUAAUGGGUACGGAAGUAGAAAAAAAUAAGAUUUCUGUGGUGUGUGAAAGGUGACGAUUUCCCAGAAGGCGACUAAGAUUAGAAGAAAU